ACCAAUUUAUUAGUCAGAGAUGGAUGCAUCAGAAUUGCAAUACAAUUGAAGUGGCCGCAAGGGAAGACUGGGGCUGGCUAUGUAGCUUGCAUACAUAUUGAUUUAUUAAUCAACGUGCCAAGUUCACGGUUUCAAUUUCUUUGAAUUGUGUGCAUAUAUUUUGUGAUAGAGUUGCAACAUGUUCCAUUCAAGAUACAUCCAUGCUAAGCAUGUACUACGAUUGUGUGACUUUGAAACGUUGGAAAGUUGAAAACUUCGACACCGAAUAAUAGGGUGUUCUAAAGGCACUUUCGAAAACUAAGUAAAGAUACUUUAUAAUUGUAUGCAUAUAUAGGAAUCUUAAAGAUGUGAAAUUUUUUUCUGUGACAUAUACAUAUAUUCAAGCUGUAUUCUUAUAUGUGUCAAUAUGAGAGUACUUAUAUGAGUGUUAAAAUCCACUAUAAUAUUUUGAAUAUCUAAAAAAGUGCUUACUUGUUAGUUCAUCCAAUUGUAUAUCUAUAAACAUCGUUCGUACAAUAGGUAUAUGUUCGCACUUUCCCAAUCUCAAUUUUAAUUCCAUUAAGGCCAUAUUCAUUUUUUUGCCAAAUUAGGUUUUCAUUUUUAUAAUGGAAGUAUGUCUCCGGAAAAACUUCUUUUAAAAAGUCAUCUGGCAGCGAUUGUUUCAAUGAUUUUUAAUUUGUAUGGACAAUUUUUCAAAUCUAAGUCUGAAUAAUCAGUACAUCAAUGUUAAAUUUGGUAAAUGUUCAAAGCCAGUUGAAUAUGCAGACAAGACCAAACAAUAUAAAUUUUCACAGAAAAGGCACCAAAAACAAUUUGAAAUUGCAUUGAAUAAAUAGCCAUGGCUAAUUGACUCAUCUAGGUGUCACCCAUCAAUGGUGAACUGACUAGUUAGGUAGUUCGACAGUCUUUAAGCUUUUGUUGCUAUAUUUAUGCGGAACAAACUAUAAAACUGCACGCAGAGGGAGGAAAGGGGAUAAGGAAAUAUCAAUCGCGGGAUGAAAAGCAUGCCUAAUUAAUCUAGUUCCAUCAAAGUUCCUUCAUUCCUUGAAUUGUAAUAUAACUUUCUAGUAUAAUACUCCACAUUACA